rnacentral:lncRNA from 1 species
ACCAUCAUGUGUCUGAUAUCCCAAAUAAUCUCUACAUGAUAGGCUGUCAAAAAUUUUAACUUAUAAAAAAUAAUAGAACUCGAGUACACCAUGUUUGGAGAUUUUAAUUGAGAGUUGGGACUAAGGCAAUCUCAGAUCAAGUAACAAGUUUUCUCCCACUGAAAACCACAAAAAUUAUGAGUGAAACUCUCUUAAGAAAGCACAACACAAACUUGUGUGACUUUAAUAAAUUUUAACUUGUAAUAAAUAACGUUUUUAAGAGACUCUUAGAAAGUGAUUCGCUCUUUUUUUGUUUGGUAUCUGUAGUAUGUUGACAAUCAUGUUAGACAAUUUAAAGUGUAAUGAUUCUGACCUGCAACACAGACUAGUAACGCUGAGAGUGGGGAAUCUGGUUUGAGAAAGGCAGAGGAUGUUGUAAGCACCAUGUUAGCCAAGGGCUUCAUUUUGGGUAAAGAUGCAUUGAAUCGAGCAAAAUCCUUUGAUGAAAGGCACAGACUUACUUCCACGGCCUCAGCAAAAGUUGCUUCUUUGGACCAGAAGGUGGGAUUUACUGAAAAGAUCAGUGCUGGUACAGUUAUAGUGAAUGACAAGGUGAAAGAAAUGGAUGAGAAAUUUCAAGUCUCAGAGAAGACAAAAACUGCAAUUUCAGCAGCUGAGCAGUCAGUGUCCAGUGCUGGAUCUGCCAUAAUGAAGAAUCGGUAUGUGUUGACUGGGGCUACAUGGGUCACAGGUGCUUACAACAGGGUUGCAAGGAAGGCUGAGGAAGUGGGGCAGAAAACUAAGGAGAAGGUUUUGGCGCAGAAUAAUCAAGGAAAAACUGAAGAAAGUCAUGUCCACACCAGUAUGUCGGAACCCACGACAACUGAUCAAACCUCCAAACAGGCAACCACGGUCGAUGAACCCUCAAAACCUGAACCUCAACAGGCCACCACAGUUGAUCCACCCUCCAAAUCUGAAACUCAGAAGGCCACAACAGUUAAUGAAUCCUCCAAACCUGAACCUCAAGUGGCCACCACAGUUAAUGAACCCUCCAAACCUGAACCUCAAGUGGCCACCACAGUUAACGAACCCUCCAAACCAGAACCUCAACAGGCAACCAAGGAUGGUCAAUCUGCCAGUCCAACAAAAUCUAGUGCCUGAUCCUAUGAUUUGCAAACGAAUAUGUGUGAAAUUUGGGUCAUAUAUAUGAGCUUAUUAGAGUAUUUUUGAGAAGUUGGAUGGUAUAUGUCUAAUAACCAACUGUGUUGUAGAAAUAAAAUAAAACCGGAGAGCCUCAGUGUAGUACUUCUUUUCUGAGACUUCAUGCAGUCAAAUAUAUACCCUAUUUACUCCGUCCUGAGGAAACACGGUUACGUCCAUGUAUCUUGUUUAUUACGCUAGUUACUAAUAGACUAAUAGUUGCAUGUAUCUCUCCAUGAGAAUCUCUCUCUCUCUCUCUCUCUCUCUCUCUCUCUCUCUCUCUCUCUCUGUAUGUAUAUAUAUUUAUGUAUGUGAGUGUAACUGGACCAUUCAGAAUAUAUGCUGACAGAAUCUCAAAUGAUGUUUUAAUUUCUAAAAA